CAGUCGACGGACUUAACCGAAGUAUUUAUAUUUUGGAGCGGUUAGUGGCGGACUGGUGAGUAACACGUAAGCAACCUGCCUAUUAGAGGGGAAUAACAGUGAGAAAUCAUUGCUAAUACCGCAUAUGCUGUGAGUAUCGCAUGAUACAAACAGGAAAGGAGCAAUCCGCUAAUAGAUGGGCUUGCGUCUGAUUAGAUAGUUGGUGGGGUAAAGGCCUACCAAGUCGACGAUCAGUAGCCGAACUGAGAGGUUGAACGGCCACAUUGGGACUGAGAUACGGCCCAGACUCCUACGGGAGGCAGCAGUCGGGAAUAUUGCACAAUGGAGGAAACUCUGAUGCAGUGACGCCGCGUGCAGGAAGAAGGUUUUCGGAUUGUAAACUGCUUUAGACAGGGAAGAAACAAGACAGUACCUGUAGAAUAAGCUCCGGCUAACUACGUGCCAGCAGCCGCGGUAAUACGUAGGGAGCAAGCGUUAUCCGGAUUUAUUGGGUGUAAAGGGUGCGUAGACGGGAAUUUAAGUUAGUUGUGAAAUCCCUCGGCUUAACUGAGGAACUGCAACUAAAACUGAAUUUCUUGAGUGCGGGAGAGGAAAGUGGAAUUCCUAGUGUAGCGGUGAAAUGCGUAGAUAUUAGGAGGAACACCAGUGGCGAAGGCGACUUUCUGGACCGUAACUGACGUUGAGGCACGAAAGUGUGGGGAGCAAACAGGAUUAGAUACCCUGGUAGUCCACACUGUAAACGAUGGAUACUAGGUGUAGGGAAUAUUAAGUUUUCUGUGCCGUCGCAAACGCAAUAAGUAU
rnacentral:rRNA from 1 species